GUGUCAGCAGCCGCGGUAAUACGAAGGGGGCUAGCGUUGCUCGGAAUCACUGGGCGUAAAGCGCACGUAGGCGGCUUUCUAAGUCAGGGGUGAAAUCCUGGAGCUCAACUCCAGAACUGCCUUUGAUACUGGAGAGCUUGAGUCCGGAAGAGGUGAGUGGAACUCCGAGUGUAGAGGUGAAAUUCGUAGAUAUUCGGAAGAACACCAGUGGCGAAGGCGGCUCACUGGUCCGGUACUGACGCUGAGGUGCGAAAGCGUGGGGAGCAAACAGGAUUAGAAACCCCCGUAGUCC
rnacentral:rRNA from 1 species